UGGCUUUCCCCCAUUGCCAGUUUAAAUGCAGGGCAGUCUGUAGGGGGCUCCACAGUAGGGAGACCCAAAGGCAGUAAGGAGACUGCUCCAUCUAGGACCUCAAGGACAGGGACAGGUGGCCCAGCUAGCAGAGUCUAGCAGCCCUCAGAGAGGCCUGGAAAUGAAGAGACUGGGACCUCGGGGAAGGAAUGGUAUCUGGGGUCACACUGCCACCAGCUGCCAUGAGAUCGCAAGCAUCCUGUCCCAGGCUUCCAGAUGUGGCUGACAGUGAACUUUCUGGUCCCUUUGUGAGACUUCCUGUAUUUUGCCACCUGCAUUUUAUCGGCUUUGUAGCUUCGUUUUUGAAUGACAUAAAGGGCCUGAGAUGAGCUGCUCAGCAUGCGGAAGGCCUGCUGUCUAUCACUGUCCUACAUACCCAGGUAUGGGGUGAGUCCCUGUGAUUCUAGCAUCAAGGAGAUGGAGACAUCAGAACCCCAGAGCUGUCUUUGGCCACACAGAGAUUUCAAGACCAGCCUAAGAGAAU
rnacentral:lncRNA from 1 species